CAUCGCCGCGGUAAUACAGAGGGUGCGAGCGUUAAUCGGAUUUACUGGGCGUAAAGCGUGCGUAGGCGGCUUCUUAAGUCGGAUGUGAAAUCCCUGAGCUUAACUUAGGAAUUGCAUUCGAUACUGGGAAGCUAGAGUAUGGGAGAGGAUGGUAGAAUUCCAGGUGUAGCGGUGAAAUGCGUAGAGAUCUGGAGGAAUACCGAUGGCGAAGGCAGCCAUCUGGCCUAAUACUGACGCUGAGGUACGAAAGCAUGGGGAGCAAACAGGAUUAGAGACCCCUGUAGUCCCUGUCUCUUAUACA
rnacentral:rRNA from 1 species